UGUGGAGGGACUCAUCAAGAGUUUAAGGGAUUCGCUGGAGGCCAAACUCAAAGCGACAACUGAAAGACUGGAGAUGAAGAGGAUAAUCAACGCUGAGCUACUGCCCAAGAAGAGAAAGAUGGAGGAUGAAUGAUCUGGCUCAAGAGAUAUUGAUGACCUGGAACGUACCUUGGCCAAAGUGGAAAAAAGAGAACUGCCACAGAGAACAAGGUUAAGACAACCUAUGAGGAGAUGGCUUCAAAGAUGAGAGCAUUGCAAGCUGACCAAGGAAAAGAAAGCCUUCAGGAGGCUCAUCAGCAGACUCUUGAUAGACCUGCAGGCAGAGGAA